rnacentral:tRNA from 1 species
GUUUCUAUAGUUGAAUAACAACGAUGAUYUUUCAUGUCAUUGGUCAUAGUGAAAGUCUAUGUAGAAAUU